GGGGGUACCAACUCAGAUUGGAAGUGU
rnacentral:piRNA from 1 species